UGCCCCCAACGAAGCCACGGACACCACAG
rnacentral:piRNA from 1 species